UUGGGCUUAGUUUGAAUUUUUGGAGAAUUAUUAAAUAGUUUACAAAAUAAAAUAAAAUAUAAGGUAGAAACGUGUUUGAGAUUGCAUUCAUGCUGCAGCAUAAUUUUUGCUUGAUUUUUAUUUAUUUGUUUGCGCUUGUUUUGCUUUGUUUUGGAGCAAGAAUUAAAUUGGAGAAAAUCUGUUUUGAAAUAAAAAAAAAGAAAAGGAAAAAGAAAGUGGGCAGCGCAUCCCCUCCUCGGCCCGCGACCGCGCACGGCCCAAGCCGCUGCCGCGGCCCAACCGCGCCCCC
rnacentral:lncRNA from 1 species